rnacentral:pre_miRNA from 1 species
UCUUAUGGAUGAGCAAAGAAAGUGGCUUCUUGAAAUGGAUUCUACUCCUGGUGAAGAUGCUGUGAA